rnacentral:sRNA from 1 species
AAGUAUCAAGGCCUCAAGUCUGGCACAUUUUUCUGGCCAGGAUCAGAUGUGGAAAUUAAUGGAAUUUUCCCAGACAUCUAUAAAAUGUAUAAUGGUUCAGUACCAUUUGAAGAAAGGAUUUUAGCUGUUCUUCAGUGGCUACAGCUUCCUAAAGAUGAAAGAAGAACCAGAUUCUUCAGGUCAUUCAUAUGGACCAGUCAGCAGUGAAGUCAUCAAAGCCUUGCAGAGGGUUGACGGUAUGGUUGGUAUGCUGAUGGAUGGUCUGAAAGAGCUGAACUUGCACAGAUGCCUGAACCUCAUCCUUAUUUCAGAUCAUGGCAUGGAACAAGGCAGUUGUAAGAAAUACAUAUAUCUGAAUAAAUAUUUGGGGGAUGUUAAAAAUAUUAAAGUUAUCUAUGGACCUGCAGCUCGAUUGAGACCCUCUGAUGUCCCAGAUAAAUACUAUUCAUUUAACUAUGAAGGCAUUGCCCGAAAUCUUUCUUGCCAGGAACCAAACCAGCACUUCAAACCUUACCUGAAACAUUUCUUACCUAAGCGUUUGCACUUUGCUAAGAGUGAUAGAAUUGAGCCCUUGACAUUCUAUUUGGACCCUCAGUGGCAACUUGCAUUGAAUCCCUCAGAAAGGAAAUAUUGUGGAAGUGGAUUUCAUGGCUCUGACAAUGUAUUUUCAAAUAUGCAAGCCCUCUUUGUUGGCUAUGGACCUGGAUUCAAGCAUGGCAUUGAGGCUGACACCUUUGAAAACAUUGAAGUCUAUAACUUAAUGUGUGAUUUACUGAAUUUGACACCAGCUCCUAAUAACGGAACUCAUGGAAGUCUUAACCACCUUCUAAAGAAUCCUGUUUAUAUGCCAAAGCAUCCCAAAGAAGUGCACCCCCUGGUACAGUGCCCCUUCACAAGAAACCCCAGAGAUAACCUUGGCUGCUCAUGUAACCCUUUGGUAAGUAUCGUCAAGAAGUUUGGUCCAGUAUGUAUGGUUUGAUAGCACCCUCUGCAUAGCAUGUGCUGUAAAAAUACUUAAUAAUCAAAUUAGAAUUUAGGAGUGGGGGUAGGUAAACAUAUGUUUUAAUUCUAGGGGGCACAUGUAGAUCUUUUGUGAUAUAUCUUUUCUCUUUCUGGUUUUUGCAUUUUCCACUCUAUUUUUAAUUCCUUGGAGCUGUGACUUGACUUGGGUGCAGGUGUGGUGAAGUCUAGUUAGUUGACUUGGGUACAGGUGUGGAGAAGUCUAGUUCAGUUCUUGAGCAUCCUGAAUUAGGGAAUCUGUGCUGUUAACUCUAGCAGUGAGGUGAUGAGCACAUAGUAAACCAAUCACAAUGUACCUUUUUAAAAAUACAGUUCAGAUUGUUUAAAUGUAGGGAGAAAAAAGAUUUCUUGGUAUGAAAUGAAUACAUUACACUGUCCUUUUUUACUUCCAUGUUAAUAUGACAUUAUUAUAAAAAGAUAAAAAUACUAGACAAGUUAUGAACAAAAUUGAUAACAUCCAUGAGGGCACCUGUAAUCCCAGCUACUCGGGAGGCUGAGGCAGGAGAAUUGUUUGAACCUGGGAGGCGGAGGUUGCAGUGAGCCAAGAUCACACCAUCGCAUUCCAGCCUGGGCAACAGGGCGAGACCCUUUCUCAAAAAAAAAAAAAAAAA